rnacentral:rRNA from 1 species
AGCAGCCGCGGUAAUUCCAGCUCCAAUAGCGUAUAUUAAAGUUGCUGCAGUUAAAAAGCUCGUAGUUGAAUUUCGGGACCAAUCUGCCGGUCGUGCCUCCGGUACGCACUGGUUUUAUUGGUUUCUCCCUUCUGACGAACCAUGAUGUCAUUAAUUUGGUGUCAUGGGGAAUCAGGACUGUUACUUUGAAAAAAUUAGAGUGUUUAUAGCAGGCUCACGCUUGAAUACAUUAGCAUGGAAUAAUGAAAUAGGACGUUUGACCCUAUUUUGUUGGUUUCUAGGAUCGACGUAAUGAUUAAUAGGGAUAGUUGGGGGCAUUAGUAUUCAAUUGUCAGAGGUGAAAUUCUUGGAUUUAUUGAAGACUAACUACUGCGAAAGCAUUUGCCAAGGAUGUUUUCAUUAAUCAAGAACGAAAGUUAGGGGAUCGAAGACGAUCAGAUACCGUCGUAGUCUUAACCAUAAACUAUGCCGACUAGGGAUCGGAUGAUGUUAAUUUUUUAAUGACUCAUUCGGCGCCUUA